rnacentral:rRNA from 1 species
AACGAACGCUGGCGGCAUGCCUAACACAUGCAAGUCGAACGAGACCUUCGGGUCUAGUGGCGCACGGGUGCGUAACGCGUGGGAACCUGCCCUUAGGUUCGGAAUAACUCCCCGAAAGGGGUGCUAAUACCGGAUAAUGUCUUCGGACCAAAGAUUUAUCGCCUUUGGAUGGGCCCGCGUUGGUUUAGCUAGUUGGUAGGGGAAAAGCCUACCAAGGGGACGAUCCAUAGCUGGUCUGAGAGGAUGAUCAGCCACACUGGGAGUGAGACACGGCCCAGACUCCUACGGGAGGCAGCAGUGGGGAAUAUUGGAAAAUGGGCGAAGGCCUGAUCCAGCAAUGCCGCGUGAGUGAUGAAGGCCUUAGGGUUGUAAAGCUCUUUUACCCGGGAUGAUAAUGACAGUACCGGGAGAAUAAGCACCGGCUAACUCCGUG